rnacentral:rRNA from 1 species
AUUGAACGCUGGCGGCAUGCCUUACACAUGCAAGUCGAACGGCAGCACGGGUGCUUGCACCUGGUGGCGAGUGGCGAACGGGUGAGUAAUACAUCGGAACGUACCUUAUCGUGGGGGAUAACGCAGCGAAAGCUGUGCUAAUACCGCAUACGCCCUGAGGGGGAAAGCGGGGGAUCCAAAGACCUCGCGCGAUUAGAGCGGCCGAUGCCUGAUUAGCUUGUUGGUGGGGUAAAAGCCCACCAAGGCGACGAUCAGUAGCUGGUCUGAGAGGACGAUCAGCCGCACUGGGAAGAAGACACGGCCCAGACUCCUACGGGAGGCAGCAGUGGGGAAUUUUGGACAAGGGGGGCAACGCUGAUCCAGCAAUGCCGCGUGAGUGAAGAAGGCCUUCGGGUUGUAAAGCUCUUUGGUCAGGGAAGAAACACCGGCUCUAACACAGUCCGGGAAUGACGGUACCUGAAGAAUAAGCACCGGCUAACUACGUGCCAGCCGCCGCAGUAA